AUAUUUUAAUGAAAAGUGAAUUCAAAUGAUAUUCUAUCCAAUACUUAAUCUUAGCACUUCAAGCACAAAUUUGAGAUAAAGAAAAAGUUGAAAAGCUGUCAGUAUUUGCCAUCUCUCUUAGAAAUCCAAAAAGAACAUAUUGGUUAUCAGGAAAUGGAUGAAUCAGUGCCCUCCAGAGGCAGAGCUCAGUUGGGGAAAAAUUUCAAGAUAUGGAGAACAGAUAUCAAUGAACAUAAACAAUACUGCUGUGAGAAGAGAGAGCUGGGACUACUCAAGGCUCACAUGAAUUCCUACAGGAGAGGUUGGCUUGUGUCAUCUGUUACAUGAAUGAAACUAUGAAUUUCAAACAACACUUCCAGCAUCUGGGCUUCGUGCGGAUGUGUGACAUCUGAGCUAGAUCCUGGUAACUGAAGCAGUGCAAACUCAUGGAUUGUCUUUGCUGCAUGUUUAUUGUGUGAACUUCCAGUCUGCCCAUCUGCAAAACCACCAGGAGCUCAGCUGGGAGGAAUAAAAGCUAAGGGAAGAGCUGUAGUAAAUUGAUCAGAGGUACCCUGAACCAGCCUCAGGGAAGCACAGUACAGCAUGACAGAGACACAACCUUCUGAAGAGAGCAGAGUAAUCCACCUUGGGUGAGGCCAUGGACAGGCCAGAUCUCAUGGAAUUAACCUCAGAAAGAAUUCCAGCCACUCUCUGUCUCUCCCAUUGCGCUUUUGAAGGCGCAGGAGUUAGACAGCAAUGCCUCCACAGUACAUUUGGCUGUAGAAGGUGCCCUUGGCUGAACAGCUAGAUAGAAUAUGCUUUUAUUCUGUUUUGUUGGGUUUUGGGAGGUUUUUGUUAAAACCUCUUGAAAGAUCAUGAAAAGAUGGGGAAAACUGCAUGAGAGCAGCAACUUUGUUCCAUGUGGAAAAAGAAGGGUCAAGAUAAAAAAGAUAUCUCUAUAGAAUUAACACUAAAAGUAAUGCUGGGGGGUUCCCCUUUGGCCAGUUAACUUGCACCUUCUCUUGAAAAAUAAUGUUAUACAAUAUCAACUGCAUCCUAAAUAGCAAUUGUUGUGAUAGGCACUAU